CAAGGAGUUUUCCGCAAUGGGCGAAAGCCUGACGGAGCAACGCCGCGUGGGGGAUGACGCCCUUCGGGGUGUAAACCCCUUUUCUUGGGGACGAAGCAGUGACGGUACCCGAGGAAGAAGGCCGGGCUAACUACGUGUCAGCAGCCGCGGUAAUACGUAGGCAGCAAGCGUUGUUCGGAAUUACUGGGCGUAAAGAGUGCGUAGGUGGUUGGCCAAGUUUGGUGUGAAAUCUCCCGGCUUAACUGGGAGGGUGCGCCGAAAACUGGUUGACUAGAGUGUGGGAGAGGGACGUGGAAUUCCUGGUGUAGCGGUGAAAUGCGUAGAUAUCAGGAGGAACACCGGCGGUGUAGACGGCUUGCUAGACCAUAACUGACGCUGAGGCACGAAAGCGUGGGUAGCAAACA
rnacentral:rRNA from 1 species